GACGAACGCUGGCGGCGUGCUUAACACAUGCAAGUCGAACGGAAAGGCCCUGCGUUUGUGGGGUGCUCGAUUGGCGAACGGGUGAGUAACACGUGAGUAACCUGCCCUUGACUUUGGGAUAACUUCAGGAAACUGGGGCUAAUACCGUAUAGGAUCUCCUGUACGGGGGAGGGGAGGGGAACUUUUCGGCGGGUGGGGUUGGUGGCGCGGCUGUCGGGCUUGUUGGUGGGGGAGGGGAUGACCAAGGCUGGGACGGGUAGCCGGCAGGAGAGGGUGACCGGGCACAUUGGGCCUGCGAUACGGCCCAGUCUCCUACGGGAGGCAGCAGUGGGGAAUAUUGCCCAAUGGGCGGGAGCCUGAUGCAGAAACGCCGCGUGCGUGAUGACGGCCUUCGGGUUGUGAAACGCUUUCGCCUGUGACGAAGCGUGAGUGACGGUAAUGGGUAAAGAAGCACCGGCUAACUACGUG
rnacentral:rRNA from 1 species